rnacentral:rRNA from 1 species
UACGUAGGGCGCAAGCGUUAUCCGGAAUUAUUGGGCGUAAAAGAGCUCGUAGGCGGUUUGUCGCGUCGUGCCGUGAAAGUCCGGGCUCAACUCCGGAUCUGCGGUGGGUACGGGCAGACUGAGAGUGAUGAGGGGAGACUGGAAUUCCUGGGUGUAGCGGGUGAAAUGCGCAGAUAUCAGGAGGAACACCGAUGGCGAAGGCAGGUCUCUGGGGCAAUUAACUGACGCUGAGGAGCGAAAGCGUGGGAGCGAACAGGAUUAGACUACCGUAGU